rnacentral:rRNA from 1 species
UGUUAGUGGAAGCGUCUGGAAAGGCGUGCGAUACAGGGUGACAGCCCCGUACACAAAAAUGCACAUGCUGUGAGCUCGAUGAGUAGGGCGGGACACGUGGUAUCCUGUCUGAAUAUGGGGGGACCAUCCUCCAAGGCUAAAUACUCCUGACUGACCGAUAGUGAACCAGUACCGUGAGGGAAAGGCGAAAAGAACCCCGGCGAGGGGAGUGAAAAAGAACCUGAAACCGUGUACGUACAAGCAGUGGGAGCACAGAGCAAUCUGUGUGACUGCGUACCUUUUGUAUAAUGGGUCAGCGACUUAUAUUCUGUAGCAAGGUUAACCGAAUAGGGGAGCCGAAGGGAAACCGAGUCUUAACUGGGCGUUAAGUUGCAGGGUAUAGACCCGAAACCCGGUGAUCUAGCCAUGGGCAGGUUGAAGGUUGGGUAACACUAACUGGAGGACCGAACCGACUAAUGUUGAAAAAUUAGCGGAUGACUUGUGGCUGGGGGUGAAAGGCCAAUCAAACCGGGAGAUAGCUGGUUCUCCCCGAAAGCUAUUUAGGUAGCGCCUCGUGAAUUCAUCUCCGGGGGUAGAGCACUGUUUCGGCAAGGGGGUCAUCCCGACUUACCAACCCGAUGCAAACUGCGAAUACCGGAGAAUGUUAUCACGGGAGACACACGGCGGGUGCUAACGUCCGUCGUGAAGAGGGAAACAACCCAGACCGCCAGCUAAGGUCCCAAAGUCAUGGUUAAGUGGGAAACGAUGUGGGAAGGCCCAGACAGCCAGGAUGUUGGCUUAGAAGCAGCCAUCAUUUAAAGAAAGCGUAAUAGCUCACUGGUCGAGUCGGCCUGCGCGGAAGAUGUAACGGGGCUAAACCAUG